rnacentral:RNase_MRP_RNA from 1 species
AGGUACCCUCGAGUGACACCACGGAGCUUCAAACAGGGUCUUUUUAAUGACUCCACGUGCUCUGAGGAAGGUCCCUGGACCCGUGGCAGAAAGUGCCGUAGCAUAAUGGCUACUAGCCUCGUACCGUUGUUCACGAAUGAGAAAGGAAGCUUUUUUCAGAGCUGAUCUUUCAUGAUGGCUGCGAGAGUGUUGGUCAAAGUAAAGCUAUGUGUAGCGACGCUUUCCUUGCCUCCAUUUGGAGACUAAGAGAUUGCGUUGAACUGAACAGGGGCCUACCAGACGAGGAAACU